CCUCAGUUCAUCAAGUAAAAUUCAAGUUCAUUGAUGCUGAUAAAUAGAAAUCUUACUAUUUACUAAAUUUGUUUAUUUUAGAUUAUGAAAAACUAGAUUUAAGAUGUUUUAUGAAAUAAUAUAUGUAUAAGUUGUAAUAUACUCAAUUUUAUUUUCUGUUUUUACAUGUUAAGUUAUAUCAGUGUAUCUAGCUAGUUUUUACAUGUGCUUAUGAGGGAUAGGCCGGAUGGCUGCACCAUUCACACUAAAAAAAUAACAACAGAUGUUUAAUUGAAUUUGAACUUAUCACUUGUAAAGUAAUUUUAACAUUUUUAAUAUCUUUAUACUUUGAGAAGUAGUUGAAAACACUGACCUUUACAUUUGCUUGCCUUCAUCAGUGUCAUAUGUUUCCGUUGAACAACCCUGUUAUAUUUUCUUACUCUACUCUGCAUGUUAUAAAAUUUACAGUAAACACAGGUUGUACCCUGUCUUGUGCAUAUAUUAAACCCCAACUUAUUAUUAGAAUUUAUUAUAGAAAAACGUGUAAAAUUUCAUGUAUGAUAGGUUACAGUAAUACACCCCCCCUUUUUUCCAACAAUGCCCUUGUCAAUCCAUAAAUCUGUUUAUCAAAAUUUCCAACUACAUAUUAUUCAGCUUAGUUACAGGUGUACUGUGUAAUUCAUUGUCAGAUCUGUAGAGCAUUUUAAUAUAAGUUGGCAGAUCUGACAAUGAGUUACACAGUAUACCUUUAACUAAUCUGAGUAAUAUGUAGUUGGAAAUUUUGAUGGACAGAUUUAAGGACUGACAAGGGCAUUGUUGGAAAAAAGGGGGGGUGUAUUACUGUAACAUAUCAUACAUGAAAUUUUACAUGUUUUUCUAUAACAUUUGAUUUCCAUUAAUAAGAGGUAAUUAUUAAUUAUUUCAGUUUUUAAAAAGAAAAAUUUCUUGUCACCACGGUUUACUUUAUAUUUACUCAGUGUUACUUGAGGAAUACCCUGUGUGAUGGCUCAUGUACAUCACUAUCGUCUCAUCAUCAUGUAAGUUUAAUUUUUAAUUUAUACAUUAUUAUCAAAUUAUUCUUAUUUAAUGCAUAUCUUUAAC
rnacentral:lncRNA from 1 species